rnacentral:rRNA from 1 species
AUUGAACGCUGGCGGCAGGCCUAACACAUGCAAGUCGAACGAGUGGCGGACGGGUGAGUAAUGUCUGGGAAACUGCCUGAUGGAGGGGGAUAACUACUGGAAACGGUAGCUAAUACCGCAUACCAUCGGAUGUGCCCAGAUGGGAUUAGCUAGUAGGUGGGGUAAAGGCUCACCUAGGCGACGAUCCCUAGCUGGUCUGAGAGGAUGACCAGCCACACGGGAACUGGGACACGGUCCAGAAGCCUACGGAAGGCAGCAGUGGAGAAUAUUGAACAAUGGGCGCAAGCCUGAUGCAGCCAUGCCGCGUGUAUGAAGAAGGCCUUCGGGUUGUAAAGUACUUUCAGCGGGGAGGCGUUAACCGCAGAAGAAGCACCGGCUAACUCCGUGCCAGCAGCCGCGGAAAUUC